GGAAACUGACUAAUCCGAAGUAACUGCCCACAUCUAUAUGUGGUAGAGAAGUGGGAUUCCGAGAUAAACCCCUUAGUUCAAAUUAACUGUUAAACUUCAUUCCAUGAGGAGUAACAGUUAAUUCGAACUAAGGGGUUUAUCUCGGAAUCCCACUUCUCUACCACAUAUAGAUGUGGGCAGUUACUUCGGAUUAGUCAGUUUCC
rnacentral:pre_miRNA from 1 species